GCCUAAUGAUCAAAAGGUUUCACAAUUUGUAAUUUUAAUGGUUGAUAUGAGGCGUUUUCUUGUUUAACGGUGUAAAUAUAUCCAAAUUAAUUGAAAUUUUGUUAAAAAAUUUUUUAAACUAUUUAAAACAAGAUCUAUACUCUUGAUCUUGAUUACAAGACUCCUAUCAUCAUUUUUUAAAGAAUAUUCAUUUUCAGCCGUUCAUUUUUGUGUCCACUCGAUGGAUAAGAGAACAAUAUCGAAAAUAUAUGAAAUUUGAUUUCUAAACACUUCAAGUGGUAUAGAUCAUGUUUAAUGGUGCCGAUCAUCGAUUUGGAGGCUCCAUCAUCGAAAAUAAAUAGGUGGCAACGGAGCCCGUUUACUAUCGAUAGUAUUCUAGCUCAACUCUCUCUCUCUCUCUCUCUCUCUCUCUAUAUAUAUAUAUAUAUAUAUAUAUAUAGAAUUAGGCUGGAAUACUAUUAGUAGUAAAACACUCUUUUUGCUAUCAAGUUUUAACCCUUGGAUGAAAAAUUGUAGGGUUAGGAUGAUAUUAGUCACUAGAGUUGAGUGGUCCCCCUAGGGUUGAGUGGUCCGCACUGGGUUAUAGCAUUUAAUCCAAUGGUUAGAAAUGAUGAAAAGAGUUGAUCCAAUGACUAAAAAACUAGUAGCAAUAAUGGAAUUUUGCUACUCAUAGUAGCCCAGUCCAACUCAUAUAGCUACUAUACUAUUAUGAGUAUUCGAGCCCUCAUACUCAUAAGUUGUUUUCGAUGAUGGAGCUUCCGAAUCGACGAUCCACUUCGUUAAAUAUGAUCUAAAGUAUUUGAAACUUUUAGAAAAUAAAUUUCGUAAAUUUUCGAAAUCAUAAUAAAGUCCAUCAAGCGGGCAUAAAAUGAACAAUCAAAAUUGAACGACAUCCUAAAAAAGGAUGAUCGGAUCCUUCAAUUCAAGAUUGGAGUUAUUGAUCUUUAUCUAGGUAGUGAAGAGAAUUUUCUAUCAAAAAUUCAACAAAUUCUGAUUCUUUUACACUGUUAAACUAGCAAGUAUCCCAUGCCGGCCAUUAAAAAUUGUCAAUUUUGUGACCUCUUGAUCGUAAGGUAAAUAAUAUCGAAAAAUUAUAAAAUUUGAUUUCUAGAAGUUUUAAAUGCUGUAAAUAACGUUUAACGGUAUGAAUAUAUAAUGUAAAAAUAAUAAUUAAAUAUUUAUGACGUCAUGGUGACGUCAUUAGUUCAGUGACUGUUGAUCCAAUAAUAUUUUCAGGUCGCUGUUUAACUCAAUUUUUAAACUUUUUAUUUUAUAAUGUCUUGAACUAUAGCCAACUAUUCUAAAUAGUGACUACUGAACCAUACGUGGAAAAAUCCCCACCUUUGGAUAGGUGGGAUGUAUAUUAUACAUCCCUUUACGGACGUUUGCGUAAUGUUGCUCAUUCAAUUGGAAAAAAGCUAUUUGUACAUCCCAAAAAAGGUGUAUAAUAUACACCCCACAGAUAUAGGGUGGAAUGGACUUUACUAAUUACGUCAAUGUGACUAGCAAAAGAGUCCCCACCCUUGGAUUGGCAUAUACAUUAUACACCUCUUUAUGAAUGUUUAUAUAGUAUUGCUCUUCUAUUUGGAAAAAUCUAUUUGUACAUCCCAAAAAGAGUGUAUAAUAUACACCCUACCACAUAGA
rnacentral:lncRNA from 1 species